rnacentral:misc_RNA from 1 species
UCCGGUUUGUCACCGGCAGUCUCCUAUGAGUCCCCAACUGAAUGCUGGCAACAUAGGACGGGGGUUGCGCUCGUUGCGGGACUUAACCCAACAUCUCACGACACGAGCUGACGACAGCCAUGCAGCACCUGUGCAUGCUCCCCUUGCGGGGUCGUCCCGCUUUCACGGUUCUACCACAUGCAUGUCAAGGCCAGGUAAGGUUCUUCGCGUUGCAUCGAAUUAAGCCACAUGCUCCGCCGCUUGUGCGGGCCCCCGUCAAUUCCUUUGAGUUCUAAUCUUGCGACCGUACUUCCCAGGCGGCUUGCUUAUCGCGUUAGCUUCGCCACAAAAGGGGUCGAUUCCUUUUACAGCAAGCAAGCACCGUUUACGGCUAGGACUAC